rnacentral:rRNA from 1 species
GGAAUGACAUUUAUUUAAACGUUAAACGGAGUAACGAUUGGAGGGCAAGUCUGGUGCCAGCAGCCGCGGUAAUUCCAGCUCCAAUAGCGUACACGAACGUUGUUGCAGUUAAAACGCCCGUAGUCUGAAUUGUGAGGUUUUUGGAAUUUUUUUGCAAUCCUUUGUAAGAAAUUCCAAGGGACCUCAUCUGGAAGUGCAUACCUUGAGUGGUCUUGAUUGAUUGCUUGAGGUUGUGCACUUGAACUUUACUGUGAAAAAAUUAGAGUGUUUCAAGCGUUUUUUGUGAAAGGAUAGCUUAGCAUGGUAUAAACGAAUCGAGGCCAUUUCAUGUUUGGUAUAGGAGCAUGAAAUGUUUAGCCAAAAAAAUCAACAGGGGUAGUUGGGGCCAUUUGUAUUCCAUAGUCAGAGGUGAAAUUCUUGGAUUUUUGGAAGACAUACUGCUGCGAAAGCGUUUGGCAAGGAUAUACCCAUUGAUCAAGGACGAAAGUUAGGGGAUCGAAGACGAUUAGAUACCGUCGUAGUCUUAACCAUAAACGAUGCCAUCUAAGAGAUGGUGUAUUGAAUGAUAAAAUCGUACAUCCUUUUUUUCCGGGAAACCAAAGCUUUUGGGUUCUGGGGGGAGUAUGGUCGCAAGUCUGAAACUUAAAGGAAUUGACGGAAGGGCACCACCAGGAGUGGAGCCUGCGGCUUAAUUUGACUCAACACGGGGCAACUUACCAGGUCCGGACAUUUUUAUGAUUGACAGAUUGAUAGCUCUUUCUUGAUUGGAUGGGUGGUGGUGCAUGGCCGUUCUUAGUUGGUGGAGUGAUUUGUCUGGUUAAUUCCGUUAACGAACGAGACCUUUUCCUGCUAACUAGUUUUAUUUAUUUUCUUUGAAAGGAAAUGGAUAAACUUCUUAGAGGUACUAUUCGUUUUUCACGGAUGGAAGUUGUAGGCA